UCCUCAUUUUCAAGGAAACGAGAGGAAAGGAAGGGAGGCACAUCUGUAAAUACCAUUCUUGUUUCUUCCUAAUCUUAUUAUCUACCAACAGUCAACAAUGAAGAUGCCGAGCUAAAUUUGGAGCCUUUGACUAACAGAAUACCCUUCCAGCAAACCUUAACCAGAAGAUUAAGAGCACCGAUAGAGGACAAUCCAAGCAAAGCAGGUCUUGGUCCCUCCAGCUUCAGUGUCAGGGAAUAUGUUAAAGAGGCACCGAUUGAAAAUUUCUCCCGGAACAUGCUGUUAAGACGCUUAUGGGAAUCUGCCAGGAAGCAGUACAAGAAACGUAGAAACCUCUCUCAGUGCUUCUGGAAAUAUUGUGUGUGAUCGGCUGGGAACCCACUCGCUUCCAGUCCCUUGCCCUAUAAUUUAUGAUGUGAUCAAGCAAUGGACUAGAUUCCUGCAUAUCAUUUCCGGAAACGCACAUGUGAUGAAAAUAAAGUCAUACUGAAGAUGGUCAAAACUCCUGUUACUUGCAUGGGAUUUAAUAAAUCUGUAUAUUAGAAAUUCUGUAUAUAGCCCUACAGAACAGACAGUGCACAGUCGACAUGUGUUUUUCUGCUUAACUGCGGCAAGGAAGCAGCAAUCUUUUAUUCUGA